rnacentral:rRNA from 1 species
GUACACUCCUGCGGGAGGCAGCAGUGGGGAAUUUUGGACAAUGGGCGAAAGCCUGAUCCAGCCAUGCCGCGUGCAGGAUGAAGGCCUUCGGGUUGUAAACUGCUUUUGUACGGAACGAAACGGCCUUUUCUAAUAAAGAGGGCUAAUGACGGUACCGUAAGAAUAAGCACCGGCUAACUACGUGCCAGCAGCCGCGGUAAUACGUAGGGUGCAAGCGUUAAUCGGAAUUACUGGGCGUAAAGCGUGCGCAGGCGGUUAUGUAAGACAGUUGUGAAAUCCCCGGGCUCAACCUGGGAACUGCAUCUGUGACUGCAUAGCUAGAGUACGGUAGAGGGGGAUGGAAUUCCGCGUGUAGCAGUGAAAUGCGUAGAUAUGCGGAGGAACACCGAUGGCGAAGGCAAUCCCCUGGACCUGUACUGACGCUCAUGCACGAAAGCGUGGGGAGCAAACAGGAUUAGAAACCCCGGUAGUCCCAUGAU